rnacentral:tRNA from 1 species
AACCCCAUGGCCCAAUGGAUAAGGCGCCGGUCUACGAAACCGUAGAUUCUGGGUUCGAUCCCAGUGGAGUUG